UUGCUGGUUGCAGGAAGAAUCCUCGGGCGUUGCCCGACAAGUACAUGAGUGCAAGCACAACGUAACAUAUUGGGCAAACCGGCCAUUCUACGUGUUUGGUCUUGGAUCGGCAAGCUACAUCAGCGGUGUCAGGUUCUCUAGCUAGGUCCAGAAGAAUGAAGGAGUACAUGCCAUAGAUCGAGUUCGUGGUGGAUACAGGAGGUGUGAUCCACUUCACCAUGCUGGACCCGAAGGGCGCAAAGUCUAUCUCAUGAACUAGCCGUGCAUCUUGCUCAACACCUUUCCAUAUAUGUACAAUUAGGCAGGUAUUUCCUCGCGUACGCGGUUGCUGGCUGCUAGAUUAAACUUCUGUUUCAGAGCGUUCCAGGUUGUGUGAGUGCAUGUUUGACCAAUUGCAGUUUAUCCCGGCUAAGGUUCUACAUUGCAUGCCUCAAAUACCUGAUCAUGUGGCUUCCUUUCGUUAGCUUUGAGUACUCAAUGUAGAGGUUUCCCUUCUUGAGUCAUACAUACCUCAAACCGAUAGUUCUCUGUAACUUCACAAAUAUUUGGUGCGUGUAUAUAUCACUUUAUUUAGGAAAUACUCAAAUUGCAGAGUUUGUUUUAUUGUUAAUCACCUGAAUAACUUGGAUUACUCUGAAAUCAGACUCCCUUUUCGAAGCACAAUAGGACUUCUUUUUAUAGACACAUUUCAACUAUGGUGCUAAUAUCUUUUUUUCUGGGAAGUGCUAUAUACGUUAAGAUUCCUCCACCAUGUCUACCACACCUCUCAUCCUUUUCUAAGAUGUUGACUACUGAAUAAUGACCCAAGUUAACAAGAUUGGCAGAGGUUCUAUCUCAUACACUAAAUCUGUCAUCGAACCCAUCAUAGGUGCAUUGCAAGGGUUGAUAAUUGUUGUCAAUUCAGAAGGGGAAUUUGCCUCAUUAAAGAUACAGAUAAAAGAUUUUCUGACCUCAUAUCGAUUCUUACUUCCAUUCCUCAUGUGUCCUAUGUCUCACGUCUCUUACACGGGCAGAACGACCUGGGCCGUAGAUUAUAUGGUGAACGAGGGCGGUGGCAGCACUAGAGUGAGGCAUGGCUGGUUGAGGAAUAAUUUAUUUAAAUCAUUUACUUACAGACUAAUGUUCGCCAUGCUUCUUUUAGUGAACGCUUGUAAUUUUGUUUGAGAGCAUAUCAUGGGUGCACUACUAAUUUAUUAAUCUUAGCAAUGUAAUGUUAAUCCACCUAAUAUGACAUAAUAGCUAAAACUAGCAGACAUGCUUCCGUCUUCAUGGUGCUAUGGUAUUAAUCAUUUGGGAGUAAAUUUGCUAACCCAGAUCCUCAAAUCUACUUUUUUUCUAGAACUCUACAUCUCGAAGUCUGAGGCACUGGCAUACUUAGCCAUGCCAUUAAGAAGCCAAAUCCAUAGGUUGCGAGCGAGAUGUUUGUCCGCACUGUUGCUUGCCUGCCUGCCUGUGAAGCUUCACCACCAUGGGAAACCAUUUCAAGCCGCUCGAUGUACUCUUCUUUCUUCUGAUUGCAUGUUUUGUAUAUGUGGGUACUCGUAGUAUGUAUUAGGGUUAAUUGAUCAUUUGAUUCAGCCAUAGUAUUGAUGCCGCAUGUACAACAUGUUCCAGAUAUAUUUCUAGAAUAACCCGUGUCUAUAUAGGUUCAAGACUAUUACAGUCCAUGUCGUUUUGGUACUUGUAUGUUCAUACGGCCAACCAUUGGCCAGUAGUUGGUUGUGCAGCAGGAGAUGAUAUGACUUCAGUUCUUCUUCACAUAAACAUCUCGAUCCUUAUUUUUUCUUCAUACGGCCAACCAUUGGCCAGGUACUACUAUUCUAAAGUAACUGAAUUUAUCUUAUUUCAUUUGAUUAGUACUGUUGGGCUGCUGGUAGUUAUUGUUCAGAAGCCUGAUUGUAUAUUGAUGGUGAACUCUGUCUGUCUUUAUCCCAAUUUAAGAUGUUAUGGUGCUACACAACUGUAUAUAGCGUGAUAUGGAGGAACCAAAAGUGCCAGAAGCAUCACUUCAUUAAACAUUUAGGGAUGAAUCUUUUUUGGCAUAUGACGAAAUUUUGUUAAAGGUAGUUGUGUUAUUGAUCAGAACUACGUACAUAACAAUGCGACACAAUAUAAUUUGGCAUUUUCAAUGCUAGCACAUGGAGCGGCAAGAGGGAGGAGAGGAGCUACGGUGGCCAGGUAACUCGAGGAUGGAGGGGAAUUGGUGUAGAAUAAGCCUGCACUCUUCAAGAAAAUACAUAGGAUAAUUAUGAAACAAGAUGAACAAACAGCUAAGCCAGCUGAGGAGCGAUCUCCAGCAGCUCCCCGGUUGCCAGUGGUCAAGGAUUGUCUGCUGAAAGACAAACAAGUGAUCAUGUUCUAGCAUUGUUGAAAGGAGUAGUGAAUGUUGAUGUAUGUACAUUUUUUGUUCGGUGUAUUGGAAGUGCAAAUUUGUAUAUACUUUACUGGCAUUAUUUACUGGAUUUUAACAUA